AGAUUAAAAUAUAAUAUAUAUAAAAGUUAAAAAAUUAAAAAAUUAAUUUUUUAAAAUAUAAAGAUGGCAGUAUAAUAUAAAAUAGGAUUAGGAGUCAAAUUAUAAAAUUUUCAAAGUAAAACGCGUGAAGGAUUGCUUGGGUUGACCUACUUCCAGAAUCGACUAAUUGCCAGCUGUUAGGUAAUACUGAAAAGAAUAAAGGCAUUAGGUCUCUUAUGGCCAAGUCCGCUGCUUACCUACCCUUUU
rnacentral:misc_RNA from 1 species